GGGANUGUAGUAUAUAUGCUAUAUAUAUACAUAUCGACUACGUCGAAUAAAGUUCUAGAUAGUUAAAUGAUAAUGACAAUGUUCUAUCUAUAUGUCUUGACCAAAUCUUGUGCCAGCAGUCGCGGCAAUACAAGAAAGACUAGUGUUAUUCAUCUUUAUUAGGUUUAAAGGGUACCUAGACAGUAUAUCUAGCCUCUAAAAGGUACGGAUUUACUAGAGUUUUAUAUGAGAGGUAAAUAUUAGGACCAUUGGUGUAAAGAUAAAAUUUUUUGAUACUAAUGGGACGGAUAACGGUGAAAACAACCCUCUAUGUAUAAACUGACGUUGAGGGACGAAGGCUUGGGGAGCGAAUAGGAUUAGAUACCCUAGUAGUCCAGGCAGAAAAUUAUGAAUGUUAUAGAUUAAAUGUUAAAUUAGUGUAUAAAUGAAAGUGUAAGCAUUCCACCUCAAGAGUAAUGCGGCAACGCAGGAACUGAAAUCAUUAGACCGUUUCUGAAACCAGUAGUGAAGUAUGUUAUUUAAUUCGAUAAUCCUCGAAAAACCUUACCACAAUUUGAAUGAUAUUUAUUAAAAUAUUACAAGCGUUGCACGGCUGUCUUCAGUUAAUGUCGUGAGAUUUUGGUUAGAUCCAGUAAAUUAACGUAAACCCUUGUUUUUUUUUUUGUGAUUUUAUUAUAAACAUAGCCAAAAAUAAAACAGUUCACCGCUACACUGGUCGUGAUAACAGGAUAAGACAA
rnacentral:rRNA from 1 species